AUCCGGAAGCGCACACAGCUUUUGGCCGUGAUGUUAUGGGACUCUAAAUCGACGCCACUUCGACCUGGGCGGGACUUUACGUCCUACGUCACUCGCUAUGGGUCACUCGCUGGGAGUGCAUGUGUGCGCGUAGCCGUUUGUCUCAGGGAUCUGUGCACGAACGGUUGUGUCGAACGCGAUGGGGGAUCCACCCUGGGUACCGUCGUAUUUUAAAAUAAUAAAUACAAGCAAUGGAUACAUUUCUGGAUUUGUCCAGACUCAAAAAGAAUUGGAGAGUCUGCUGGAGGUCCACUCAAGGGCCACACUGACAUCGUUUGUCAAAUGGUCUGAACACAUAAAAGAUGGCACCAAAGAGAGGCAUCUAUGGCAGGUGGAGGAUUUCAAUGAAGACACCCCUCUAUGUGUAUAGAAAAGAAUGGUCCUUGCUUGUCAGCAUGGCAAAGCUCGACAGAAAAAAGAAAAGGAGAAACGUUCAGCAGAGCAUGUAUACACAAAAAAACGUUUUCAUGUCCAAAAUGGGAAGAAGUUGGACUGCCCAGCUAAACUUUUCAUUCGGCAUGUGCUGAGAUAUGACUCAUUCAGUGUGAGAGGGGAUGCCACAAAAUCCCAUAAAGAAGACGCUAUGAGAAAUCUUAAGAUAGCACUUCAAAACUCAGAAAACCCACCAACCUCUACAUUCAUUCAUCUAAAAAUUCCUCUAUUGGAAGUUCACAAUCAUACAAUUGGAGCAGGAUCCUGUUUUUCAAGACCAAUCCAUCCAAAACUAAAAAAUCAAAGUCAGGAGAUGGUCAGACAAGGGAUAACUAAUAUAGCUUUCGUGAAGAGAGCCUUGAAGCAGUAUGUGCUAAAUGACUUGUGUGGAGAGGAGAUCCUGGAUGGAGGAGGGGAGAGGAUGCUAGAUGGAGGUGGAGGAGAGAUGAUGCUAGAUGGAGGAGGGGAGAGGAUGCUGGAUGGAGGAUGAGGAGAGAGGAUCCUGAAUGGAGGAGGGGAGAGGAUGCUGGAUGGAGGAUGCAGAGGAGAAAUCAUGGUAGACAGAUUAAGGAUCAAAUCGGCACAGGUUGCAAUGAGAGAAAAACUGAAGAAGUUAACGGAUGACUCGUAUUUGUGUGAUGAUUUGGAGACUUUACAAAAAAUGACUGUAGCUCUGGACAAUAUGACACAAACAAUUGAACAACUGUGCAAGAGAGAGAAUGGACUGAUUCUUAAUAAACUGGAUGACAUUGUUAUAUUGAAAAAACAUGAUCUUAGGGCACUGCCAGUUCGAAAGCACAAAUCAAAACUGUCCAGAAAACGAAAAUGGACCCAAGCUCCCUUGUCGCCCCUAAUCGAACAUUGCGAGGAGGAGACACUGGGCCACAGCUCUUCUGCUGUCCUGCACCCAAAAUCCUGAGGAUGCCAUGGAGCUCGGCAAAAAAAUCCCUAGCUAACCCUAAAUAUUUAUAUUAAACCAUUUUGCAACAGG